UUCUACCCAAAUGUUGUUCACAGUAGGAUCUCAACAUCUUUUUGACAGGCAGUAGAAGUGCUAGAGCAUGGAAACCUGCAGACACCUGCAAGAAGUGGACUUCCUGGCAUUAUAACCAUUCUCUGGAGUGGUUGCAAGAAACGAUUGAAGAGAACUGGAAUCCGAUCCACUGGCCAAAGUUAAGAGUAUAUGUCACUGUACAUUCUUUUUGGAAAGAGAAAUUGCCUGAAGUCAGAAUUUAAAUCAAUUUUUUAUAUGCUACCCCAUAAUAGAGCCAAAAUAAUGCAGCUUCACGUCUCCUUAAUGGACAGAAGACUACACUGUUUUUGCUGCACCCAGAGAUAAAAUUAUUGGUUUUGGAGUACCUUCACUUAUGCCAGAUGAAAUCCGUGAACAGUCCUUUGACAAAUGCAUGGUGUCAACUGAAAACGGAGUUGGGUUGAAGCGUGUACCCAACAGAGCAAAUCUACCACCAUCUUAAAAGAGCACCAACAGACAUGUCUUUCCGUACUGGUGAGCCAGCCCUGUUAUCUUUAUAUAUGUAGGAAAAGCUUGCUAUAGAUGCACAGAAGUCUA
rnacentral:lncRNA from 1 species